GCCCAGGUAACUCUGAAUUUCAGAUAACCAACGAAUAACUUUGUGUGAUACUAUAUUUGUACUCAAAAGUAACUCGUUUAUCUGAAAUUCAAAGUUGACGGCGCAUGUGGUACUGUAUUGAAUCUGGCAACGCUCCACCUUGGUUUUCCUACCCGGGUUUGUGGAAGGGGCUCCCCCUGCCCCGCAGGUGCCGCCCCGAGGAGGUGGAGGAGGAGGAGCCGGGCACUGACUGGGGACCCAGGCAACGAAAGCAAGCGCUGCAAAGACGAAGGGGAGCGCCCAAGGAUGAGGAACGUUCCAAGACACUGAGUGAUUUGCUGAAAAUCACACAUCUAGAUGCAAAGCCAGAAUGCGAGCAGUGACCACCACACUUGACAAAUCCGUUGUUGCACACAUUUGUACUCUUCAAUCAACAAAACCUGAUGCAAAAAACAGAAAAGGGGGAGAUGUACAUGCAUUUUCCCUCACUGCAAAAAAAACACAACUUGUUUAACUACAGGUGUGUUCCUGGUGGUCUUUGAAUGAAGACAUUGACAGAAAGUAACAUAGCAUGCUGGUUAAAGACUGUUUUUAUUCGAAUCCUGGCUUUGCCAAUCAACAGCUGCAUAAAUUAAACUCUCGACCUCAGCUCCCUUAUUUGUAAAACAAGAAUAACAAAAAGACAUUUUUAUAAGGUUGGGUUGAAGGUUAAAUGAAAUAACAGAAGAUUAUCUCUUCACUAAUUUUAGCUGUAGAAAACAGAAGCCAAUCGAAAGAGCUCCCAGUCCAAAGCUGGAACAACUUGAACAACAAAAUAAAUAAUGUAGCAUUGGAUUACAAACCAACCAUAAAACAAAUAUCCAUGAGUCUAUACUGAUGUCAAUAAAUGAAUAAAUGUGGGAAAAUA